GACAGAGGGUGCAAACGUUGUUCGGAAUUACUGGGCGUAAAGCGCGUGUAGGCUGCUGCGAAAGUCAGGUGUGAAAUCCCCGGGCUCAACCUGGGAACUGCAUUUGUGACUGCAUGGCUAGAGUACGGUAGAGGGGGAUGGAAUUCCGCGUGUAGCAGUGAAAUGCGUAGAUAUCUGGAGGAACACCGGUGGCGAAGGCGGCAUCCUGGACCGACACUGACGCUGAGGCGCGAAAGCUAGGGUAGCAAACGGG
rnacentral:rRNA from 1 species